GCUUAUGGCCAUACCAGCCUGAAUACGCCUGAUCUCGUCUGAUCUCGGAAGCUACGCAGGGUCGGGCCUGGUUAGUACUUGGAUGGAGACCGCCUGGAAUACCGGUGCUGUAAGCG
rnacentral:rRNA from 1 species